AUUGAACGCUGGCGGCAUGCUUUACACAUGCAAGUCGAACGGCAGCGCGGGCUUCGGCCUGGCGGCGAGUGGCGAACGGGUGAGUAAUGCAUCGGAACGUGCCCAGUAGUGGGGGAUAGCGCGGCGAAAGCCGGAUUAAUACCGCAUACGACCUGAGGGUGAAAGCGGGGGACCGUAAGGCCUCGCGCUAUUGGAGCGGCCGAUGUCGGAUUAGCUAGUUGGUGGGGUAAAGGCUUACCAAGGCGACGAUCCGUAGCUGGUCUGAGAGGACGACCAGCCACACUGGAACUGAGACAUGGCCCAGACUCCUACGGGAGGCAGCAGUGGGGAAUUUUGGACAAUGGGGGCAACCCUGAUCCAGCCAUGCCGCGUGCGGGAAGAAGGCCUUCGGGUUGUAAAGCGCUUUUGUUCGGGAAGAAAUCCUCUGAGCUAAUACCCCGGGGGGAUGACGGUACCGGAAGAAUAAGCACCGGCUAACUACGUG
rnacentral:rRNA from 1 species